CCAGCUUAAUAACUUUUAUAUUUUUUUAUGAGAAACACUGAAUUUCAUACACAAGAUAAUUUUUAAUUAAAUUGUAAUUGAUAUAUUAUAAUUUCUUUACAUUUUUAAAAUAAUUUUUUUUUUUAGUGCUAGAUAUUUAGUUGGUAGUUUCUCACAAGAACCUUAGUAAAACUUAAACAACUUUUAAUUUCAAAUGUUACUUUAAUUGUAAUUUUUUACUCAUGAAUUGAACAACAUAAAAAGAACAUUAUUUACAUAUGGCCCUUUAUACUAUUGUAAAAUGCAAACAUUGUAGCGCACCGCGCGAAUGAGCACUUCUCUUUCAAAUCUCACCACUUCUCCCUAUCAGUUUCAAAAAGAGAAGUCACUUCUCCCUAUAAUUCUGAAGUAGUGUGAGCCCUGGAUUUAU
rnacentral:lncRNA from 1 species